ACGCUUCGGAGAGCAUGGUUACAUGCACCGUCGGGGCAAGCACCGCGCAUGCGGUGUGAAUCUCUCAGGUAACAGUACGGAGAC
rnacentral:ncRNA from 1 species